rnacentral:lncRNA from 1 species
AUAAAAAACGAAGGGCGUAACAAACGCUGCCCUCACCCAGUUCUACAAAAAUCAGCUCACUUUUUCGCCAGUACUCUAAUACGGUGGGCAGUAGAAAUAGCGUUCAUAUAUAGGUUCUGAAAAAUAGCGUUUUUUCUUUCGUACCAGAUCAUCAACCUGUGACCCUUUCCCUGACAACUCCUCCCAGAUGAUGUUGACGUCCUCAAUGUAGGGGAAGAUGUGGGGGUCGUCGAGAAGCGAAAUCAAGAAGAACUUGCUAACAACACAGUCCACCAGCAAGUGAUCUACUGUCUCUAGAUCAACGGCGCACAGGACACACCUGUUAUUUCCUGACCAUUCCCUUUUGAUAAGAUUAUCCGUAGUUGGUAGUCUUUUUUUUAAGGCUAACCAAAGAAAAAUUUUAACUUUUAUUGGAAUUUUCAGUUUCUAGAUGGCAGGAGUCGCGACAUCUUUGACACCCCCAAUCCUGAUGAGCGAGUACACUGAUUUGACCGUAUAUUUAUUGCCAGAGUUCUAUCUCGAGUGGAUGCCAUUAGGUUGAUCAUUAACUCGAAAGUUAGUGAGAGUGCUCUUCAGCUCCCUAAUACUCCAUCUACUGAGUUGUGUGUUUCUUCUCACUCUCAAAAUCUUUCUCCACCUCCAUCUGGAGGCAGAGAAACAAUCACUCCCUCGCACUUAUUUAAGGUCAAUGCGAGAAUAAAUAUCUAGAAAGUAUGACUUAAGGGGUGCGUCACCACACCAUCUAUCGUUUCAGAAAUCAAUGAGUAGUCCUUCUUCCAGCCCGUAACUCAAGUCUAUUUUGAAAACUUCCUUCAAUUCUAACAUGUUCUUCCACCAUUGCGAGACUGGUCAAAAAGAUUCUACUAUGAAACAGUGGUCGCCUUCUGUUAUAAUAUAAGCCCUUAAUCAACUUAGUCCAUUAUAGUCCCUAUCAGUAAAAAAAUGCCACCACCAUUUAGUUACCAGUGCAUCGUUUAUGGUGGCCAAAUCCUUAACGCUUAAGCCUCUUUCAUUCCAACUAAUGCACACGUUUUUCCAAACAACCAAAUGGACAACCCCUUUAUAGCUCGCCCGUCCGUUCCAAAAAAAAUUCUUGCAUAACGUCUCCACACGUUUUAAAACCCAUUUUGGUGUUUUAAAAUUAGAGAAAAAAUGCAACGACAGGUUAGAAAGAACUAAAUUAACCAAUGUUAAUAUGUCACCUCUCGAAAGAAGUUUAGCCUGCCAACUGUCAAUCCUUCUCUAGAAAUUUUUAAUGACACUUACCCAAUCUUCUUUUUUAAGCUUCCUAAACAUCAAAGGUAGACCCAAGUAUCCAGUAGGUAAUUUCCCAAGUAUCUAGUGACUUGUUUUGAAUUACUCUUUCUUUAAUUAUAUUUCAUCCAAAUAUAUUUAAUUAUGAUUGUUCUUAAUUUUUUAUUUAGAUUGUAUAUUUAAAAUAUGAUGAAGUUUGAUUACUUAAGUUUCAAUAUAUCUUUUAUUUAAUUUUCACAUUUAAAAUACGAUGAAAACUAAGUUGUUAAAUGAUAACAAUUCUUUAACUUAAGAGUUUUAUUUAUUGCAUUAUUAUAAUUUAUAUACAAAAAAUUAAUAUAAUUAUUUUUAAUUUUAUUUUUAUAUGUAUAGAAAUAUAAUUAUAUUAUUUUUUAUUUAUUUUUUUAUAAUUUAUAAUUUAUUAAAUUAUAAAAUAGAUAAUAAUAUCAUGUAGGAGAUAAGUUUAUGAAGGGUACGAGAAUUAAAUAAUUUUCGGUAAAACAAACAGAAAAAACGGAGAACUGUACUUUUUACGUUAUUCACUUUCUGCCAAACAAAGAGUAGAAUUGGCAGAAUUUCAAUUUCACAACUAUACAAACAAGCAGCAAAAGUGAAGUAAUUUUUCACCUGAGCUCUAAUUCAACCUAAAGUUCACUUCACUUGAACUGUACUUAUGUUGGAACUACACCCAAUGGAAUUCGACGAGGUCGGCACGGCGGAGGUCGAAGUUGGGAGUCCAAGCCGUGCCGACGAAACCCGCCGUCCCCUGAAACGGAUUCGCGUGAGCAGGUCGCGUAGGCCCGACAAAAGUCGAGCUCCACAAUUCUGUCCAAACACCUGUAGCUGUAGCAUUGGUUACAAAAACUCGGCCACUUCAACUCCGGCUUCGAUCAAAACAGAUCCACCAAAAGAGAGAGAGAGAGAGAGAGAGAGAGUUUAGCAAGGAGAGUAGAGUGUGGAAGAGACGGAGAAUGUCUUAUGUGGCUGAAAUUAUUGAUUAAUCCAACUAAGAGAAAGGGAUUGAACAUGG